ACAGGCGCAGCCGUUCUCCGAGGCCCUUCGGUGAGACUCCUCGUUCGCUGGAGGAUCUGCCAAGUAAAUUGCUUGGAUGGGAAAUGAGCACCUGGCCUCAUUAUGACUACCCAGGCCAGGAGAUGCAGAGUCCCCCCGUGCAUCUCCGCCGCCGCAGCGGGUGCUCGCGGGAAGCCUGCUCGGUGGCUGCUCGGAGGCUGCGAUGACUGGGCUGAAUUUCCUGACUAACCGCAUCGGAACAGGAGAGCUGGAAGGUCCCCAGCUCCCUCGGGGCAAAGACGCACCAGAAAUACCAGGAGCAUGACGGCUGCAUCUGGGAUUUGCGUGUCUGGAGCGGAGGAGAAGGGGAAAGGCGUUGGGAAAGCCCGUGAGGAGGGACGGGCGCGGAGCAUCCGUAGGGUGGGCGAGGAAGGGGCCGGGUGCCGGCGGGCUCCCCAGGAGGCACACGCGUCUCCCGGGAGCCCCAGACGAGGCCGGCGUGACGAUGCCCUGACAAGACAGCAGCCUGCAGUCAAAUUCCUGCCCCGGCUCUUUGUCUUCUCCUGGGUGCGGACCCGAGUCGGAAACCACGGCACCGGGCGUGUCGGCAUCCUGGUGUCUGCGGAUGCCUUCCCGGCCACCCGCUUUCAUCUCCUCCACCCCCAGCUGCGCUCUCAGGGCCAGUGGCUGGUGGCUUUCUGGGCUUGGUGGCUGCAUGGUGGCCAUCGUCUGAGCCACCCCACUGCUCCGGCUCGCCCCGCUGCCACCUGCUGAUGGGGUCCCCAUGGAGCCCAUCGCAGCCUUGCAUGGCCACAGGAUAUCAUGGGUCCCCCAGCAGCAGGAACCAGCCUGGAGGCUAUGGGGAUUCUCCAGGAUGUUGGGAGCAUGUACGUCUGCCUCCUCACUCAUCACUGCCUGCCAAAAGCCGUCACUGUUGCCCUGUUGCCUUUUGUAGCAGAGAUUUACUCACAGUGCUGGGGCUCACAGGCAGCGAGGGGUUAACGGAAAUGCCACUUGGAAGGUGGUUUCUCUCUUAUAAGAAAAA